rnacentral:rRNA from 1 species
GUAAACCCAAGGUUUCCAGGGGAAGGUUCGUCCGCCCUGGGUUAGUCGGGACCUAAGCUGAGGCCGAAAGGCAUAGGUGAUGGACAACAGGUUGAUAUUCCUGUACUACCGAUAACCGUUUGAGAGAAGGGAUGACACAGUAGGAUAAGCUAAGCACACUGUUGGUUAUGUGUGCCCAAGCAUUGAGGCAGUCAAAGUAGGUAAAUCCGCUUUGAUAAUGCUGGGAUGUGAUGGGGAGCGAAAUUUAGUAGCGAAGUAGCUGAUUUCACACUGUCAAGAAAAGUCUCUAUCGAGGUUAAAGGUACCCGUACCGCAAACCGACACAGGUG